AGCGAACGCUGGCGGCAGGCUUAACACAUGCAAGUCGAGCGGGCAUCGUCGGAUUUCAGCGGCAGACGGGUGAGUAACAGGGGGGAAUGUAUCCUUAGGUUCGGAACAACGCUGGGUAACUGGCGCUAAUACCGGAUACGCCCUCAUGCGGACAGGUUGAGUGCCGAAGGAACGGUCGGCGCCUGAUUAGCUAGUUGGUGGGGUAACGGCCUACCAAGGCGACGAUCAGUAGCUGGUCUGAGAGGAUGAUCCGCCACACUGAGGCUGAGACACGGUCGAGAAUCCUACGCGAGGGAGCAGUGGCGGAUACAGGACAAUGGGCGCAAGGAUGAACCAGCCAUGACGCGUGAGUGAUGAAAGCCGUGGGGUUGUGAAGCUAUUUUGUCCGGGACGAUAAUGACGGUACCGGAAGAAUAAGCCCCGGCUAACUUCGUG
rnacentral:rRNA from 1 species